CACGUGGCACCUUUGCAUGAAUUACGACCAGGCACCUCAUCCUCCUGGCAGGGCUCACGGCCGACAGGCUAAGCAGGGGCUAGACUGUAGGGGCUCCCCCGGGGAGGCCACAGCCAGUGCUCCAGGGGCCACGGGACCAGCCAGGGGUAGAACUGAGGGGGGCUGCGUGGAGCCCAGGAGAGCCAGAAAGAAAGAUCCGGAGGUGAAGCCUCGGCUGCUUUAAGCCGUGGCAAAGACUUCAAAAUAUCCAAAAGGCCUGUGUGGGAUGCCCUCACACCUCGGUGGGCCACCGGAUGGAGGUUCCGGUCAUCCUGUUCCUGCAGGAGUCACAAGUGAGAACACGAGGCCGUGACCGCCUGGCCCGAAAGCAGCUGUGGGCAGCACUGACCUGAGCACCCACUGUGUGCCGGCCCCUCCUCUAAGCACCCUGCCCAGAGUCCCUCAUGUAAUCUGCACACGUGACCCACGAGGAAGCAGCCACUACGCGUUACAGACAAGGGAAAACGAGGCACGGGGAGGGCACGGUCCACUUGCCCAGGUCACACAGCUUGGCAGCACAGUGGGGGACACGAGGCUCCAGGCCUGUUAACCCGAAGCCCGUGCCCAGCCAGUUCUCGGAAAUAAAGGCGGAUGCCCCCUCGGAGGUCCGUGCGUGCCAGGCUCUGCUCGGCGCCCUCUGCCCCCAGUCCCAUUCCGCCCUCACAACCGACUGGCCCCAAUUCACACAUGGGGAGCCUGAGGCCCGGAGAGAGGAAGUCCCUUGUCCAGGGCAUCCGGGAUUUGAACUCGGGCAGGCGGGCACCAAAGUCCAGGCUCUUCCCUGCCUGGCCUGCCCGGAGGGCCACAGGGACGCCCUUGUUUCCGUCAUCAUCGUCAUCACCAGGGUGCCUUUCUCCCUCCCACUCAAGCCUCCAGUCCACACCCACACCCUGCCCUUCAGGUCCUGCCCUGACCCUUCCUGGGGCUGAGGGUCCCCUACCCCCUGUCUGACCCGUCCCAGGCCCCCAAGGGUAGAGUGGGGUUCCUGCCCCUGCCUCCCAUCCUUAUCUGCCUUUACCGCAGCCUUCGGCAGGACAAUCUGAAGCAGAAAAGAUGUCCACAAACCAGUCCCUGCCACCAAAUGUGCCACACUGAGGCUCAGCCCUGGGACUUCCAUCACUACCACCACCACGAGGGCCCCCGUGACCCUGUGCAGAUGCGGACACGGAGCUCACGGACCCCCUAUGACCUCGGUGGGGCAGCUAUUCUCAUUCCCACUUCGCAGAUGUGGAAACUGAGGAUCACAAAGGUGAAAUCUCUUGCUUAGGUUACCAGGCAGAGCUGGGCCUAGAAGACGGGAUCUACUACAGGGCCAACCUCCUUAAGCCUUCUGCUGGCCCCCAAGCCUCCUCCGUGUGGCCCCAUGGCCUGUACGAUCGGCCUGUCACCUCUGCCCCCUCGUUCACUCUGCCCCAGCCACAUGGGCCUCCUUGCUGUUCUUCAAACCCUAGACGUGUCCCCACCUCAGGGCCUUUGCACUGGCUGUCACCUCACCUGCUGGAACUUCAUUCUCCCUGAUCUGCACAUGGCUCCCUCCCUCCUCCCCGCUACCCGAGUCUGUGCUCAAAUAUCCCUGCUCCUGUCCCGGCUCCCUCUAUGCCUUUUUCUUUGCCCCUGUCUUCUGUCUUGCUCCCCAGUGUACCCCGUCUACAACAUGGCCCCAGCCCACACUAGGCGCUCAAGGAACCUGUGGUGAAUGAACUGAUUCAUCUGUACCCACUACGCUACAGCCCUGCUUGGACACCUCUGACUCUGCCCGGGCGGUCCCUGGGGCACUCUGGCGGAGAUGUGCCUGGGACCCAGGGGCGGCGGGUGAAGCAGCAACGUCAGACAGAGGGAAUAGAGGAGGACAGCAUGCAGAUGCCUCUGAAGUCUAGGGUCUGAUCCCAAGAACGCAGGCCCAUUUUGCAUUCUACUCUCGUACGGUCAUUGCAAUUAAAGAAAGUCUUUUGAAUUA